rnacentral:rRNA from 1 species
UGGGGAAUAUUGCACAAUGGGGGAAACCCUGAUGCAGCGACGCCGCGUGAGCGAAGAAGUAUUUCGGUAUGUAAAGCUCUAUCAGCAGGGAAGAAAAUGACGGUACCUGACUAAGAAGCACCGGCUAAAUACGUGCCAGCAGCCGCGGUAAUACGUAUGGUGCAAGCGUUAUCCGGAUUUACUGGGUGUAAAGGGAGCGUAGACGGCUGUGUAAGUCUGAAGUGAAAGCCCGGGGCUCAACCCCGGGACUGCUUUGGAAACUAUGCAGCUAGAGUGUCGGAGAGGUAAGUGGAAUUCCCAGUGUAGCGGUGAAAUGCGUAGAUAUUGGGAGGAACACCAGUGGCGAAGGCGGCUUACUGGACGAUGACUGACGUUGAGGCUCGAAAGCGUGGGGAGCAAACAGGAU